rnacentral:rRNA from 1 species
GUUGACCUCGGAUCAGGUAGGAAUACCCGCUGAACUUAAGCAUAUCAAUAAGGCGGAGGAAA